CAAUUAAUAAUUUAAAAAUAGAAUAAUAAUUUUGGAGAUUAUAAGUAUAAAUAUAUUUAUUUAAUUGA
rnacentral:tRNA from 1 species